GGACACACACAGCGGGUGACUCCCAUAGGUCAACUGCAGGGGCCGCGAAUUCUUAGUGCCGUUCAAAGAAUCCUUCUUUUCUAAAAGAAGAACCCACACCCAGGGAGUAACACUUAUCGGUUGUCGCAAAGCAUUGAGGCUUAAGGAUUGAGGAGUGAGGCUCGCAUUACCCCUUGCUCCCAAUACCCGACCCCUCACGCUCUUGAGGGGUCUGUAGCUCAGUUGGUCAGAGCACACGCUUGAUAAGCGUGGGGUCGUUGGUUCAAAUCCAACCAGACCCACCAGUUUCGUGUCGGGGGUGUAGCUCAGUUGGGAGAGCGCCUGCUUUGCAAGCAGGAGGUCAUCGGUUCGAUCCCGUUCACCUCCACCAUUCCUCAGGACUGAAUUGUUGAGCGCUUCGUCGAGCGCUGAACAAUCGGCUCCUGGAGUCGAUCGGCUGUUUUUGCUCUUUAAAAAUCUGGAAGAAGUAAAGGUCUCGAUUCGGGGUGAUACCUGGGUGCAGUUCGGCUUGGGUGUUCAUGAGAAUCGAGAACUGGGUUUGAUUGUAUCGUUGCGUUCGAGGAGCACAAGAGGGCCUCGAAUGCGGCAAACACGAGUUCACCUGUAGCUUGAAGCUUCGGAUCAAAGGUCCGAGGGCUCAAAGUUAUAGGGUCAAGCGAACAAGUGCAUGUGGUGGAUGCCUUGGCGAUUACAGGCGAUGAAGGACGUGGUAGCCUGCGAUAAGUCUCGGGGAGCUAGCAAACAAGCUUUGAUCCGGGAAUGUCCGAAUGGGGAAACCCGGAAUCA
rnacentral:misc_RNA from 1 species